GAUCUUCCCAGACCAGGGCUCGAACCCGUGUCCCCUGCAUUAGCAGGCAGAUUCUCAACCACUGCGCCACCAAGGAAGCCCCGUAUCACUUUUUAAAAGGGGGAGGAGAGACAUCUCCGUCGGUUCUAACACAAGAGCAGUGGAAUAAUCAAUCACUGCCAAGGAGGUAGGGGUUAAUUCAGCCUACAGACCAAAUGGAGUCCCCAGCCUGUUUUUUGUAUAGUCCACAAACUUGGAAUGUUUUUUACAUUUCUAGUGGUUGGAAAAAAAAUACCUUGUGACAUGUGAAAAUUAAAGUUUUGUUAGAGAAGAGCACAGCAUGCCCAUUUGUUUAAAAUCGUCUAUGGAUGCUUUCUCACCACACUGGCAGAGUUCAGUAAUCGAGACAGACUCAUGGCCUGCAGAGCCCAAAAUAUUUACCGUUUCAGAAUGAAAAAACACGGAUUACAAGAAUUUGGCCCUACUCUUUUGGUUACUCACAGUCCUGAUGCUUCCUGCCAAAACAUAAGGAAAACAGCACCAAGUUCAAAUUUAGUGUAACCAACAUAUCGUGUCUAACCUGCUUUUGACAGUUCUGAGUAAAAAUGCUUAGCAGAGCAAUGUUAAAGCUCCUUAAUGAGCACCAUAAAAUGUACGUCUACGAGAUCAUGGGAUUUCAUUUACUCUGCUACGAGACAAGGAAGGUCUAAAUAUUCAGACAAUUACCAUAUGCUUCUCCAACCAACCAGAAACAACUACAUCAAGUCCACAGCGGCUCAGCUUGGUUAGCAAGUCUGCAUUCAUACGCUUUCGAAAUGCUACGCCAACUGGCACAUACGAAAUGAGAUCAGCUAAAGGGUAGCAAAGGUGAAAUUGCAGGGAGAAGGGAGGACCCAGACUCCUCAUGUUGAGUUCCAUACUUAACAGGAAAAACUUUAGUCCAACUCCCAGUUUUGCAGCCAAUGGGAACUUGUCCAAUUUGUAACAUAAAGCUGUAGCAAAGCCAACUCUUGGAACAAAUCCUCCCAAUUUCCAACCUCAAUGAUAAAAAUGGAAAUUAACUCAGGGGGUGGGGGAUUUGGUUAAGGAAACAAAGUAUCACCAGUCUGGAUGGUGGAGUACAGAUUUUUAUUCUUAAUAUUUCAAGUUAUUACAGUCAACAUAUUUUGCUUUUGUGAUCAAGUCAUUUAAAAAUAAACCCCUGAUAUUUCUUAAACUAAGCAGCAUGCUAAAUAGCUAAAUGAAAUGUUGCCCCCAGCCCCAAAAUACAUUAUUCCAAUGAAAUAUUUUUUUUAAAUAGACUGUUGAAUUAGCUGCCCUAUAAUCACGGCAUUCUUUUUUUUUGCCACCUUUUGUAGGUAAGGCUGUAUUUUUAAACCUUUGCUACUGCAACUAACAAAAAGUUGAUGUGGCUAGAGUAAGUAGCCAAAAGAUUCCUGAACCAUCAAAUAGAAAAAUAAAGCCGAUUCCUAUCAUUCCCAUGAUACCAUUUAGUUCCAUUUAGCCAAAAUUGUGUUUAUGUCUUAAAGGAUACCAGAUUUCCCCGCCACACUCUCCUUUAAUAGUGCUAAACCAUAGCACCUAUGGCUGCUGUGUAUUGAUUUAUUUUUAAAUGCUCUGAAACUGUAUUAAAAGUGUGUUCUUGGUGUAGAACAGAGUUUAAGUUCUACAUAAUUUCAAAUCUGAGAUCUCAUUAGACAGCCUCUGAGAGGACCAAGACUAAACUAGUGUGGAAGCAAAUCACAGCAAAGGAGACAACAAAAUUUAAAAAUCACAUGAAAAACGAAGCUCCUAUUAAUACCUCAGGAUUUCAGAAAAGCUUCUGAAUGGGCAGAGUUGACUUUCAAGAAGCACUUAUCAAUAUAUUCAGAUUCUUUUCCUCUCGCAGGGCUUUGCGCAUGCUGUUCCCCAGCCUGGAGGUGUUGAAUCCAGAAGAGCGGCCCCUCCCAAGUGCUUACUUCCCUUCUCCAUCAGAGUGGAAACUGCUCUUUGUCCAUGCCCCCCUCCCCCAUUAGAUUAGAAGGU